AAAAUAUCUAUUUUCAAGUGUUUAAUUCAUAUUCAGAGGUUUGCAUUUACAUAUGCAUGGACUUUAACUGUAACACAAAAUCCCAACAUGUGCGUUUACCAAAGUGCACAUUGUAAAUUUUGCAUAUUGCAAUUUCACCGUUCGUAUGAAGAGGGUUCAUUAAAAAGUAAAAUCUUCCAGGUGUGGUGGUACACCCUGCGAUCCCAGCACUUGGGAGGCUGAGGCAGGAGAAUUGCUGGGCCACAUAGUUCAAGGCCAGCCUGAGAUACACCAAGAAACUUUGUCUAAAAGAAAGGGGGACCAGAGGGGGGUUGAGUACAGCUGGCAGGGAGGCCGGGGCUCCUGGGGAGUGUGGGAUCUCCAGCGUCCCGAGUCCCGAUCUCCCUACCCUUGAGCACGGCCCGGCUCUGCAGUGACCCGGCAGUGACCCCGCGCUCCCUGCGUGUCCACUUUGCGGUCCGCGGCAGCUACUGUCACUAAGCCAUCACUAGCCCCGGGAUAGAGCUUGGUAGCUGAGACCCCUUGUCACUAACUUCCAGGUGUCAGGAUGGCCGAGUGGUCUAAGGCGCCAGACUCAAGCUCUGCUUCCCGUCCCGGGGUUUCUGGUCUCCAAGUGGAGGCGUGGGUUCGAAUCCCACUUCUGACACAUAUUUUUUUCCCCUCCCUUUUCUUUCCUGCCGGGAUGGGUUCACCUCAAGUCUCUUCCUGGCCACCGGCCGGGACCCUUGGAUCCAGCCCUGCGAACACCCUCGCUGCGCAGAGAGGCGCUUCCCGAGCUCGAACCCUCGACCGACAAAAGCUUCGAGUUGGGGGCCCGGGACCCCCCGCGCUUUCCUCCAGAAGCCGGCGCCGCCUCGGCUCAGGGUCAAGGAGGUGGAGGCCAGGCGGACAGGAGUCGCCCCUCCUCAGUGGGUCCGGGCGCCAUGGACACCCACGGGGUCACGCGGAGCCCCCACAGGUCACCAGGCGACCUAAAGGCGGCCAGGCUCGUGGGCUGCAAAACUCAGGACGCAGAAGCACACGGAUUGACCGGUUUCCCAAGGACAGUGCGCUCCCGCGGGGCGGAGUAGACAUCCGAGAACGCCUGGCGGCGGAGACGGGCGGACGGGGCAGGGAGCCGGGGACACGACCUUCUGGUGACUCAUUUAACUGCGAGCGGGGUCGGGGACGAGCUCCGCCCCACCCGGAGCUCCUCCUGCCUCGCCCUCGGCCCAGCCGGGGCCUCACGCGCGGCCCCGAGAGUGGAUCCGAGCUCUCCACGCCGGGCGUCACUCUUCCUCGAGUUCUCCUCCCGGGACGGCACAACCUUCCCUCGCGGGCCUUCUGCCCUUUGAAAGCACGCAGGGUGCAUUCCGAGGUUUCCAGCACCGCGCGGGGCCGUCCUCGGGGACCGUCCCUGCCGAGUGGACGACCCGCUCUCCCAAGAACGGGCGUUUUCGCAGCCUGGGGCCCAGUGGUGAUCUACGAGUCAUUCUAUACCACGCAUUAAGAGCCGCAACAUGGAGCCUGGACAGCUCAGUCGGUAGAGUAUCAGACUUUUAAUCUGAGGGUCCAGGGUUCAAGCCCCUGUUCAGGCGACUGUUGGAACUUUUGUGUCAGGUCUGGGUCAGUGCGACUUUCAAAGCCCUUCCCGAGGCGGCAAACCUGCUUAGUGAGCGACAUGGUAAUUAGGGUCUUCCUCAGCGCCCAAGGAAAGACAUCUUGCAGCCAAACGACCUUUGCGUGUCUUUCUCUGUGUCCCCGAAAUCAUUUGCCUACCUUCCAAUGGUGGGAACCUCUGUCCCAGCACGUCCUGAAAUCGUCCCUUUGUCUCUGCUCAGUUUCCGUAAAGUGCUGAGAUUAGCCAGGAAUGGUGGUCCAAACCUGUAAUCUAACACUGGGAGGCUGAGGCAGGAGGAUUGCAAGUGUGAACCCACCCUGAGCAGUUGAACAAGAUCCUGUCAAAACAAGAAAUGAAGAAGGGCUGGGCUCAUCAACUAAGGAAUGGAUAAAAGAGAUAUGGGCUUUUUACACAGUGGAGUACCGCCCUGCCCUAAAGAAGGAUGAGCUUCAGACGUUUACAGCUAAAUGGAUGGACGCACUUGUUGAAAUGCCAUACCGAUGGUCUCUGGUGCGGGAAACUGAAUGUGGAAGUAAGGACUGGGAUGUAGAAUGGAUGUUGGGAAUUGGGGGAAAAGUGCUCAAGUGGGAAGGGAAAGGGGAGGAGUGAGGGAAAAAGGAAGGGAGGGACAAGGAAAAGGUGAAAAUGGAAGGAAAAAUGGAAGCAGCUUUGUACAUAGGGAGGGGAGAAGGUUUGAGGGGGAAGAAGGGAUAAAAUAAAAUAAAAUUUGUUAAAGAAAAAAAGAAGCAGCGCUGGGCUGUAGCCGAGCAUGAAGGCCCGGGUCCCGUCCCCUGAUUUGUGUGCGCAGACAUGUUUGUCACUCAUGCUGCUGCGUGCUGCUCAGUGAGGCCGGGCACUGCACACCCCACGUCCCAGGUGCACGGCUUCUGGCUGGAUGGAGAGAAGCAGAAAGAAGAAGGAGGCAGCUCCAUACCC
rnacentral:tRNA from 1 species